GGGCCGCUAGCUCAGUUGGUUAGAGCAUCUCCCUUUUAAGGAGAGGGUCCCCGGUUCGAGUCCGGGGCGGCUCA
rnacentral:tRNA from 1 species